CCUGCUUAUAAGGAAACAUCAUGACAGGCUGUCACACAGAGACUCUGAGGAGAACAAGAAGCCACGAAGAACAACCAAAGACACUGAAGAGGACGGAACACUUAUAGGCAUGCAGGACAUCCAGCAGGUCAGACGACGGUCGCCUCCUGAGAAAGAUCGGACAAGGGACCAGCCAACACCGCCAUCUCCAGCAACAAGAAAACUUAAUUUUGAAUAAUGUCCUCUAAUAUGUCAGACAGAAUAACCUUCAAGACUGUAGUGGCAGCACUCAGACUGUGAGACCUGAACAUACAGUGAGAAAGUGUUUUUACAUUUUUAUACCAGUUCAUGUUUAUAUGAUCUUUUUAAUAGCAUUUGAUAAUUAUUUUCAGGUGUUUUCACAUCGUUUGUAUAUUAUUCUUUUAUUUAAGGAAUGUUAAAUAUUUGACAGGGAGGUGAGUCACAUAUCUCUGAAGUGACCUUUGUCAGCUCCAUUUCAUGGUCAGGAGAUCAUAUCUUAAAUCAAAGUGUGUUUUUAUAUAUUGGUUUCUCAAUCAAAUACUUUGUAACAUCUGUAAUGUAAAAGUAUUGUUUUACCUGUAUUAAUAGUUGUUCAGGUGCAUUUGUAAAACAACACAACUGUA